GCUGCCCUGGGAUAGCCGGUGUGCGCGAGUCACUCUGUAGGUCUGCCGCCGGAAGCACCACCGAGUAGGCGGGGGAGACCACUGAUGCAAAGGUAUUGGCGAUAUUGACGGGCGUGGGUGGCAGUACCAUCAGCCGAGGUGGGCGGCAUGCCUGGAGGUGGGCGGGAAUCCGGGCGGCUGGAGGCCUCCUUCCUAUAGAAUUGUGGGAGGGGUGAUGGCCUUCCACGGCGACGGGUCUGUAUUUGUCCGACAGGGAGGCGGGCCACACUGGCACUGGUCUAAAGACCACCCUCCGCCGGGAGGCAGCAAUGGGGAAUAUCAAACAAAGCUACCUGAACUGAUGCCGGGUGGCCGCUGGGGUGAUGACCCCCUUCACGGCGUGAAUGGCCACCGCCACCUUCGAUUGCUUGGGCUUCCUCGCGCAUUUCGUCCGGGGAGAAGAAUUGCCGCCCGGGUUGAAGGCCACCGUCCCCGAAAAAUACGUAGGGUGCGAGCGUGUCCGGAAAUUACUGGGCGUAAAGAGCUCGUAGGUGGUUUUGUCGCGUUGUUCGUGAAAUCUCACGGCUUAAACUGUGAGCGUGCGGGCGAUACCGGGCAGACUUGAGUACUGCAGGGGAGACUGGAAUUCCUGGUGUAGCGGUGGAAUGCGCAGAUAUCAGGAGGAACACCGGUGGCGAAGGCGGGUCUCUGGGCAGUAACUGACGCUGAGGAGCGAAAGCGUGGGGAGCGAACAGGAUUAGAUACCCUGGUAGUCCACGCCGUAAACGGUGGGUACUAGGUGUGGGUUUCCUUCCUUGGGAUCCGUGCCGUAGCUAACGCAUUAAGUACCCCGCCUGGGGAGUACGGCCGCAAGGCUAAAACUCAAAGAAAUUGACGGGGGCCCGCACAAGCGGCGGAGCAUGUGGAUUAAUUCGAUGCAACGCGAAGAACCUUACCUGGGUUUGACAUGCACAGGAUGGGAUGCAGAUCAGGCGGUUCCCCUGUGCGCCGAUCACAUGUGCAAUGAUUCUGUGGCAUUGGUGUUUGGUGACAACAUGGUUUAAGGCCCCCGGCGAGGCCCCCCCCUGGUGCAGCGGGUUAUGCCAGCUAAGGCGGAGGGGUUUUGACAUAUUGCGGGGCCCACCUGUCAGCAAGGGGGGGGGGGGGUUUAGUCAUCGUCCCCAUGAUGGCCACGCCUUCACACAAGCCGCAAACCCCGAAGCAACAAUAUGCGGUCCCGCGUGGGUAAUUGUAUCCUAACGAUGCCGGUGACAUUUCCAAGGGUGGUAAAACUAGAGCCCGCGCGGGCUCGAGAAGAGCGUCAUGUCGUAGGCCGGCCUGGUCGGCGAAAACGCAGCCAGUCGGUCUGCCGUCCGAAGCAGCACUCAGUAGCCGGUGGAGCCCCCUGAGGCAAAGGCAUGGCGACAGAACCGACCUGGCGGCAGUACCAUCGCCGGCGGGGCAUGUAGCCUUAGAGUAGACCCGCCCC
rnacentral:rRNA from 1 species